rnacentral:rRNA from 1 species
GUGGGGAAUAUUGGACAAUGGGGGGAACCCUGAUCCAGCCAUGCCGCGUGUGUGAAGAAGGCCUUUUGGUUGUAAAGCACUUUAAGCGAGGAGGAGGCUACCGAGAUUAAUACUCUUGGAUAGUGGACGUUACUCGCAGAAUAAGCACCGGCUAACUCUGUGCCAGCAGCCGCGGUAAUACAGAGGGUGCAAGCGUUAAUCGGAUUUACUGGGCGUAAAGCGCGCGUAGGUGGCCAAUUAAGUCAAAUGUGAAAUCCCCGAGCUUAACUUGGGAAUUGCAUUAGAUACUGGCUGGCUAGAGUAUGGGAGAAGAUGGUAGAAUUCCAGGUGUAGCGGUGAAAUGCGUCGAGAUCUGGAGGAAUACCGAUGGCGAAGGCAGCCAUCUGGCCUAAUACUGACACUGAGGUGCGAAAGCAUGGGGAGCAAACAGGAUUAGAAACCCUGGUAGUCC